CCCUUAGAUGUUCUGGGCCGCACACGCGCUACACUGUUCGACGCAGCGAGUCUUAACCUUGACCGAAAGGUUUGGGUAAUCUUCAGCAAAGUCGAACGUGAUGGGGAUCGAUCAUUGCAAUUAUUGAUCGUGAACGAGGAAUUCCUAGUAAGUGCAAGUCAUCAGCUUGCGCUGAUUACGUCCCUGCCCUUUGUACACACCGCCCGUCGCUACUACCGAUUGAAUGGUUUAGUGAGAUCUCUGGAUUGACGCUGGCUAGGGGGCGACCCUUGGCCAGACUGUUGAGAAACUGCUCAAACUUGAUCAUUUAGAGGAAGUAAAAGUCGUAACA
rnacentral:rRNA from 1 species